CAAUGCGCUUCGAUCACCCCGGAUGGUAUGACGACGUAUAAGAUAAUCCUUACUGCAGUCCUAUCAUCCAGGAUGAUCAAGACGUGUUG